UAACCACCCACGGGCGUAAAGAACACGCCUUGACCGAGUGUUGCAGUUGUGGAGGAGGUUACAUAGCCGAACGAGACAGCUGAAGCGUACACAGGGCACCACGCAGGCCGCAAGGAAGACCGCAAUCCCUGAAGUCUUGAUACAGCCCCGUUAGCGAGGAUGAUGCAGGCGGAGAUGGUAAAACGGCCCCGGAAACCAACACAGAGAGAGCGUAUUGGUGAGCUCUCCGAGGGCAUGUCGGGGUCUACUAAGAGCG
rfam:Chloroflexi bacterium RBG_16_48_8 RBG_16_scaffold_2935, whole genome shotgun sequence.